AAGCGGAGGAAAAGAAACCAACAGGGAUUGCCCUAGUAACGGCGAGUGAAGCGGCAACAGCUCAAAUUUGAAAGCUGGCUCCGGCCCGCGUUGUAAUUUGCAGAGGAUGCUUCUGGCGAGGUGCCUUCCGAGUUCCCUGGAACGGGACGCCAUAGAGGGUGAGAGCCCCGUAUGGAUGGACACCAAACCUGUGUGAAGCUCCUUCAACGAGUCGAGUAGUUUGGGAAUGCUGCUCUAAAUGGGAGGUAAAUCUCUUCUAAAGCUAAAUACCGGCCAGAGACCGAUAGCGCACAAGUAGAGUGAUCGAAAGAUGAAAAGCACCUUGAAAAGGGGGUUAAACAGUACGUGAAAUUGUUGAAAGGGAAGCGCUUGUGACCAGACUUGCGCCGGACAGCUCAUCAGGGGUUCUCCCCUGUGCACUCUGUCCGGCUCAGGCCAGCAUCGGUUCUCGUGGGAGGAUAAGAACGGUAGGAACGUGGCCCCCCUCCGGGGGGGUGUUAUAGCCUGCCGUACGAUACUCCCGUGGGGACCGAGGUUCGCGCUCCGCAAGGAUGCUGGCGUAAUGGUCAUCAGCGACCCGUCUUG
rnacentral:rRNA from 1 species